CUCAAGAUGGCGGACGAGAGUGAGACAGCAGUGAAGCCGCCGGCACCUCCGCUGCCGCAGAUGAUGGAAGGGAACGGAAACGGCCAUGAACACUGCAGCGAUUGCGAGAACGAGGAGGACAACAGCUACAACCGGGGUGCCAUCAAUACCUUUGGAAUGCCAGGAAGCCCUGGGUCAAGAACGCUUUGAUGAAGGGUGUUUCCUAUUCUGCUCUCUUACUCCAUGGGGACAGUGGUUUGAGUCCAGCCAAUGACACUGGAGCCAAAAAGAAGAAAAAGAAACAAAAAAAGAAGAAAGAGAAAGGCAGUGAGACAGAUUCGGCCCAGGAUCAGCCUGUGAAGAUGAACUCUUUGCCAGCAGAGAGGAUCCAGGAAAUACAGAAGGCCAUAGAACUUUUUUCAGUGGGUCAGGGACCUGCAAAAACCAUGGAGGAGGCUAGCAAGCGAAGCUACCAGUUCUGGGACACGCAGCCCGUCCCCAAACUGGGAGAAGUCGUGAACACGCAUGGUCCCGUGGAGCCUGAUAAGGACAACAUCCGCCAGGAGCCCUACACCCUGCCCCAGGGCUUCACCUGGGAUGCCUUGGAUCUUGGGGACCGUGGUGUGCUGAAAGAACUGUACACCCUCCUGAAUGAGAAUUAUGUAGAAGAUGAUGACAACAUGUUCCGAUUUGAUUAUUCCCCUGAAUUUCUUUUGUGGGCUCUCCGGCCGCCUGGCUGGCUCCCCCAGUGGCACUGUGGGGUUCGAGUGGUCUCAAGUCGGAAACUGGUUGGGUUCAUCAGCGCCAUCCCAGCAAACAUCCAUAUCUAUGACACAGAGAAGAAGAUGGUGGAGAUCAACUUCCUUUGUGUCCACAAGAAGCUGCGCUCCAAGAGAGUAGCUCCAGUCCUGAUCCGGGAGAUAACCCGGCGGGUUCACCUGGAGGGCAUCUUCCAAGCUGUUUACACUGCCGGGGUGGUAUUACCAAAGCCCGUUGGCACCUGCAGGUACUGGCAUCGGUCCCUAAACCCACGGAAGCUGAUUGAAGUGAAGUUCUCCCACCUGAGCAGAAAUAUGACCAUGCAGCGCACCAUGAAGCUCUACCGCCUGCCAGAGACUCCCAAGACAGCUGGGCUACGACCAAUGGAGAAGAAGGACAUUCCAGUAGUGCACCAGCUCCUCACGCGGUACCUGAGGCAGUUCCACCUCACGCCGGUCAUGAGCCAGGAGGAGGUGGAGCACUGGUUCUACCCCCAGGAGAAUAUCAUCGAUACUUUCGUGGUGGAGAAUGCAAGUGGUGAGGUGACAGAUUUCCUGAGCUUUUACACACUUCCCUCCACCAUCAUGAACCAUCCGACCCACAAGAGUCUAAAGGCUGCUUAUUCUUUCUACAACGUUCACACCCAGACCCCGCUUCUAGACCUCAUGAGCGACGCCCUUGUUCUUGCCAAAAUGGUGAGCAGCAGACGGGCGGGCAGCGGCAGUGGGGCGGUGGGAGCGCCACUGGCAGGUGGCUGCCCCCUGGCUGGGGGCCUGGAGGCCUGGAGGCCUCCUCGCCCUUCUGCUCCGGUAGGGAACAGCCCAGCCAUUUUCAGCCUGCAGCUCAGAACUAGGAGGGAGCAAGGACACCCCCACCACAGGCAGGCAUUGAACCUGAACCUCCGGAUUUCUUUCAUGGGUUUCAUUCUCACUCGAGGCGCUGCUCGGGGGGGAGGAAAGGGGUUCUCCUCACGCUUCCCCAGCAUCCGGCCGGGGAGGCUGGGCUGUCGCGGGGUGUCACUGGAGCAGCUGACCGUCGAGCAGAGGGGUGGGACCCAGGCCUCUUUUGCACUGGAGAGGCCACCAGCCUGUCCGUGUGCCCGCCAAGCAGUGACAGUCCAGUCCCUGCCCUGGGAGAGCUUCCAGUCGAGUUGGUGAGAUUGAGGAAGUGUCAGCCUCAGUCUCAGAGUGGCGCUUCAGAUGUCAUAAAAUCCUGAGGAGUUGGGGUGUCAGGGAGUGAGGGAGCCUUGCAAACGCCACGUGGCUCAUAGGAGUCCACUUCUCAGAGGAAAAGGUUCAGAAAAGACUGGAAAUUACCAGAGUGUUUCAGGGAGGCGUGACAAGGAACAGUGGGAGCACAGCCUGGAUACUGAGUACACAAGUGUGCACUCAGAGGGACACUGAGGAGAGGCCAGGUAAGGUGGCGCUCAGAGUGUCAUGAGAACCGCCACCAGCGAGUGAGGCCCUGGCUGGAGUCGGGCUGAAACAGGGACGCGGCAGGCGCUGCUGAAGGAGGGUGGCUCCCGAGGCCGCCGGCUCGGUUCGGUUCGGCUGUGAUAGAAGAGGGCCCACAGGGGCGGCAGCUCUGCUGUCUUCACCUGGUCUUGUUUCUCCCUGACGCCGCCGCACAGAAAGGGUUUGACGUGUUCAAUGCACUGGAUCUCAUGGAGAACAAAACCUUCCUGGAGAAGCUCAAGUUCGGCAUAGGGGACGGCAACCUGCAGUAUUACCUUUACAAUUGGAAGUGCCCCAGCAUGGGGGCGGAGAAGGUUGGGCUGGUGUUACAGUAAUCAGUUGCCAGUGAGAUUCUGGAUAAAGCCACUGAGAAAUGGAACCCCACCACUUGUUGGUCCACUUUUCACAAACGUGAGAAUCCCUGGCAAGGGGAGCAGAACUGAACCGGCUUUACCAAACCGCCACUGAACUUGACAAUUGUAUUGCAAUGGCGUAGGCUGCGUGAUGUCACCUCUGGCCGUGUCUCUGGUCUCCCUCUUUUCCAAUUAAUCACACGUUAUGCAGCCGUGAUCAAGGGAAUGUAACUGCUGAAACUAGCUCGUGAUUGGCAUAUUAUGGAGUUAACGGGUGAAUAAUAAAAGGAUAUAUAUAUUAUAUAUAUAUAUAAAUAUUUUAAAUAUCUUUCAUGUUCCAAAUGUACAAGGAUGUUUGGUCUCUAAUGAAAAACUGAAUCCAGAUCAUUCCUCAAAAUUAGAAUCUACGGCCAGAGCCAGACAAACACGUAUUGGUACAAUGAAUUGCUUCCUUCUGAAGGCAGGCAUUGAUGUUUCUUGGGGGAGCAGGAGAAGAGGAUAUGGGGACUCAUACCCAGUUCCCCUUUUGAAUCAGCUGGAAUGAUUGGCUUCCGAAGGCGGGGUGCGGUGGAGGGCCCAGCUCACAGAAUGGCAGGUGGAGUCCUGGCUGGGGCUCGCCUGACUCCGAGGCUCUCCUGCAGGGGCCACGCCUUUUCUGCACUCUGACCCUGGGCAGCGGGGCUCAUCAGUGGAAGCAGAUUUCAUGACUCACGUCCCCUCUUCCCGUCCUCUUGGCCUGCUCCCUGUAGGAAGUCAUCCUGCCUCCUGCCAACUGAUGGUUAAAUCAGCUGGCUCUUUAGCUGGCUGUUGCCAACUUUAAUUUACAGGGAUAAGUUCCUUGUGAGAUGUUUUGCCACUGCCUGGGGUGACUGGCAGUUUGAAGGGGACCUUUGACCUCCUUGUAGCAUCUGGCACCUUGUGGAGACCACCUCAGCGCAAGCCCUGCUUGGCUUGUGUUAGAGCAAAGAGCCAGGACCCCGAUGCCCCGGCAGUGUGGUUGGGCAAGGAGAGGGGCUGAUACACCCAGACCUCCAGCCACCAGCCCCUGGCCUGUGCCUUCCAACCCAUUAGCCGUCUCUUGUGCUCCUUUCCAAGACACACAGCCUGCAAGUAGCGGCUAGGCGUGGUGGUUAGACGCCCAUCUGGACUUGGCAGCAGAAGUAAUUUCCUGUUGCCAUUGUCGGGGUCUGAAUUUCAUGAUGCUGUAUUGUGGAUUUUUGUGGUGGUGGUGGUGGUGGUGGUGGUGAUGGGUACUGGUGCUGCCAGCUUCCCCCAGAUGAUGGAGCCUCUGGUCACGUGGCUGUCCCUGUGGGCAUUCCUCAGCUGUGCUCAGCCAGGCGGCCUGGGGAGGAUUGGGCUGUGGAACUGUCAGCAGCAGCCCACAUCCAGGCCUGUAUGGAACGUUUGCGCUUGGAGGAAGUGGAUGGCUAGACGGUGUGACCCUUGGGUGGGAGGGUUCCUGGCUGCUUUUACCUCUCGGCUACUUCCAGAGGGAGGCAAGCCUCAGCCAGCAGGCCAGGCUCAGCCCACUCCCACUAACUAAGCUGUGCUGUGCAGGCCGGCAGGGCUGUGUUGCAGGCUGUGGGUUUUGGUGAGGUUUGUUAGCAGCCAGUUCUGCAGCGUCCCCAGAGCUGGAGGGAAUUGUGUGCCUGUGAUGGGGCUGUGCUGCCCCGCACGGGUGCCAGCAACUCCACUGAUUGGAUUUUCAUCGGAGGCCUCCGGGGACUUCCCUUCUCCCUGUGGUCCCUGUGCUGCAAACUGCAGGCACUGAUCGGAGGCUGACCUUUGACUGCUUGACUCCAAGAUACCCAGACCAAAGAAGCUGCUGUUCUUAGCAAGAUGUGCACUGCUCUCCUCAGAUGGCCAGAGUCGGAGAGGCAGGGGCUUCCUGUACAGCCUCCUGGACGUCAGCCAGCACCCCAAGGCCCAGAGCAGCCUGGCACUCGCAGGCUUCUAAGGAUAGCAAAGAACAAAGUGCCCGACUCUCCGACCGUGGGUGGCACCUGGAACUUGGUCAGCUCUGCGCCACGUCCUAGCUGGAGCUGCCUGAGAUUUGGGGUGCCCAGCAGCCGUGGGAGUGAGCUUUGCCUUGGUUGGCCCAGGUCCCGAAAUGGAAACUGAGGCCUGUGUCUGCCCUGGAGGAAACGAAUCUCUUGGAAAAGCCCUGGUGUCUCCCUCCAGAACCCUGCACCCGCUCCUUGGACUCCACUGAUGUCUUACGAUGGGGACUCUGCUGGCCUUCAGCACCGCCACCCGGGUCUGCAGGAGUCUGCACGGUGGCUGCUGUCUGUCUCCUUUCUGUCCAAACAGUCCCUGGGUUCUUCGCUCAGCCCCUUCCAGGACUUGAGGUCAGAGAGUUCGGACAGAACCUUGGGGUUUGCGGCCUCCUCACGAGGAGCCUUGCAGGACGGUAGAGCCGUGGCUGCCUUGAACCGAGCCGGGGAAGGACCCUGGGGCCUCCAAGCUCGUCUUUGGGACCUGCCCAGGCACCUGCUGUUGGAGGACCUCCUGGGCGUGGCCCUCGCCCUCCGCCUCUGCUGGGCUUUCGGACUCCGUGUUGUAGAUGUUUACCUUCUGCCUUUGGAUUGACUUUGCAUUUGACCCCUGACCCUAUAGCCCAUUCCCAUGGCCUCCUGUCUCUGUAAGGAGAGCUGGGUAGAAGGAGGCCUCAGCUCUGCACUGAGGUCACACAGGGCUGGUUUCCCCCGAUGCAGGCCUGCUUUCCAAGAUGCUGACGUCUGGUUUGAGGGCCCAGCCCGCACCAAACCACUUCACCUGAGUUUAUGGGAAAUUUCAGGCCUUGUCUGCAGCGCCAUUCCAGCUGCCAUUGCUUACUUGCUGGCUCACUGAAGCCCAGAAUGAGUGUCCCGUGGUCUUGAAUUCUUUGCCCAAAGAUGACCAGCAUUCAGCCAGCCGAAGGGAUGGCCCAGAGACCUGGCUACCUUCACAGAGCUGCAGCCGUGGAGAGGGGGGCUGCUAGGCUAGGGGCGGGGGGCAGGAGCCUCUCUCUGGCUGGUGCCUCCCCACCCAGGGGCAGCCUCCUUGUGCCUGGCCCGCCUGCCCCAAAACCGGAGGAGCCCCAGGGCUUUGGUUUACUAUUGGAAAGUGAAGGCAAGCCUGCAAACAGACUGCCCCUGGAGAGACCCUGGGGGACAUUUUCAUUCACUUCAGUUUAAAAUACUGACUGCCUGCUGGCAGGUGGGGCCCCACACCGGGAACCGGGAACUGGGAAGGGAGGCCUCCCCUUUCUGUCCUGGCUUUCCUCCGGCUGUGGGAGGCCAUCCGAUUGCAGGGUGGGGAAGGAAUACCAAAUGCAUUGUUGUUCUGCUUGGUACAUCUCACUUGUUUCUAAUAAAGGAAGCAGCUGAACAAAC